GAUGAACGCUGGCGGCGUGCCUAAUACAUGCAAGUCGAGCGAACAGACGAGGAGCUUGCUCCUCUGACGUUAGCGGCGGACGGGUGAGUAACACGUGGAUAACCUACCUAUAAGACUGGGAUAACUUCGGGAAACCGGAGCUAAUACCGGAUAAUAUAUUGAACCGCAUGGUUCAAUAGUGAAAGACGGUUUUGCUGUCACUUAUAGAUGAAUCCGCGCCGCAUUAGCUAGUUGGUAAGGUAACGGCUUACCAAGGCGACGAUGCGUAGCCGACCUGAGAGGGUGAUCGGCCACACUGGAACUGAGACACGGUCCAGACUCCUACGGGAGGCAGCAGUAGGGAAUCUUCCGCAAUGGGCGAAAGCCUGACGGAGCAACGCCGCGUGAGUGAUGAAGGUCUUCGGAUCGUAAAACUCUGUUAUUAGGGAAGAACAAAUGUGUAAGUAACUAUGCACGUCUUGACGGUACCUAAUCAGAAAGCCACGGCUAACUACAUG
rnacentral:rRNA from 1 species